rnacentral:rRNA from 1 species
UGGGGAAUAUUGCACAAUGGGCGAAAGCCUGAUGCAGCAACGCCGCGUGCGGGAUGACGGCCUUCGGGUUGUAAACCGCUUUCAGCUCCGACGAAUGUGACGGUAGGAGCAGAAGAAGCACCGGCUAACUACGUGCCAGCAGCCGCGGUGAUACGUAGGGUGCGAGCGUUGUCCGGAUUUAUUGGGCGUAAAGAGCUCGUAGGUGGUUUGUCGCGUCGGGAGUGAAAACCCAAGGCUUAACUUUGGGCUUGCUUUCGAUACGGGCUGACUUGAGGAAGGUAGGGGAGAACGGAAUUCCUGGUGGAGCGGUGGAAUGCGCAGAUAUCAGGAGGAACACCGGUGGCGAAGGCGGUUCUCUGGACCUUUCCUGACGCUGAGGAGCGAAAGCGUGGGGAGCAAACA